rfam:Medicago truncatula strain A17 chromosome 4, whole genome shotgun sequence.
AUAUAAGCAAAUUUUACUUUUUAGGUUCAUUCAAUUAAUGAUGUAUGUGGUCCAUAAUAUGAACCACAUACAUCAUUAAUUGAAUGAAUCUAAAAAGUGAAAUUUGCUUAUAU